AAUGAACGCUGGCGGCGUGCCUAACACAUGCAAGUCGAACGAGAAAGCCCGCAAGGGUAAGUACAGUGGCGCACGGGUGAGUAAUACACAGGAAUCUGCCCUAGUGUGGAGAAUACCCUGGAGAAAUUCAGGUUAAUACUGCAUAAGCCCAGAAAUGGGGAAAGGUGGCCUCAAGCUACCGCACAAGGAUGAGCCUGUGGCCUAUUAGCUAGUUGGUGAGAUAAAAGCUUACCAAGGCGAAGAUGGGUAACCGGCCUGAGAGGGUGUACGGUCACACUGGAACUGAGACACGGUCCAGACUCCUACGGGAGGCAGCAGUGGGGAAGUAUUGCACAAUAGGGCGCAAGCCUGAUGCAGCGACGCCGCGUGGAGGACGAAGGUUUUCGAAUUGUAAACUACCUGUUAAGUGGGAAGAAAGAACGCGUACCUAAUACGUACGUGGGAUGACGGUACCAC
rnacentral:rRNA from 1 species